UCUAAUAUGGCAGAAAUUUAAUGCUUUGAACUUAAAAUUAAUUUAUAAAGAUUAAUCUUUUUUUAGAA
rnacentral:tRNA from 1 species